UGAAUAUUGAUGGGAAUAGGUGCUUUGAUGCUUAAAAGGGAAGUUCGGUGUAAUUCCGGCACGGUCCCGCCACUGUGAUGGGGAGCCUGUUUAUUGUCAGGUUAUAGUUUGCCUGUAAUACUGACAACCACUGGAAAACUGGGAAGGUAUAGACAGGUGAUGAUCUGAAGCCAGGAGACCUGCCUGUUCUGACACACACCG
rnacentral:ncRNA from 2 species